CCGUGCUCCAGCUGUUGUUUACAAAUAUGCACAGACCUCCUCGUCUUACCGGAGUGAGCUGUUCUAUCCUGCCCUGUGCAGCGUGUAUCCCGCUAGCUGAAUAUCCAUGUUGUCAUUCAGCCACGAUUCCGUGAAACAUAGGAUAUUACAGUUUUUGAUGUCCCGUUGGUAGGAUAUUCGUGAUCGUACCUCGUCUAGUUUAUUGUCCAACAACUUGUUUUGACAUAUAAAACCCCACCCAGCAGACUGUCACUGUCGACCAAUCGCGUUUGCUGUCAUGCCGCUUUAUACAAUGGGUGGGUCUAAUCCUGAAUGCUGAUUGGUUAACUGCAUUCCAGCCUGUGUCUAUUUAAGCAAUAAGGCCCGAGGUGGUGUGCUAUAUGGCCAAUAUUCCAAGGCUAUGGGCUGUUCUUAGGCACAAAGCAACACGGAAUGCCUGGAUACAGCCCUUAGCCUUGUUAUAUUGGCCAUAUACCACAAACUCCUGAGGUGCCUUAUUGCUAUUAUAAACUGGUCACCAUCUAAUUAGAGCAGUUUUGUCAUACCUGUGGUAUACGGUCUGAUAUACCAUGGCUGUCAGCAAAUCAGCAUUCAGGGCUCAAACCACCCAGUUUAUAAUCCACAAAUGACCACUGGCUAAAUAUAUUACUUUAAAAUGCCUAUUUACUCUGUUCCAUCUGACUGUGCAAUCCACUGUCUCAUCAACCCAGCCAGGCAAUUAAUAAACUUGAUAUCCACUAUAAAAAGCAUCUAGGCAUUAUCUCACAUUUCUUUUACACUAACAUGUAGUUUUCAACAGCGCAGAUUUGUAUCAACCAUGCUGUCUGUCUCUCCGACAUUUUCAACAUUGUUUAUUCAAAUUCGAUCUCCAGCCGUCCCAUAGUACUGAACAUAUUAGGAGACUGGGCGAGACACAGGCAGUAUUUCUCAUCCAGUCAAAAUCAUGAAUCAACGGGCAUAAUUUUUAUGGAUAUAUACAGAGAGGUCAAAUGACGACUUUUAAGUUAGCCGUAGUUGACUAGCUAGCAAGCAAGGGAUAAGAACGUUGCCAGCCAGUAUGGCAAUGGAACAUUUAGAACGAAUGACUGGGUCGCGUCCAUAGAUACAGAACAAAAAGACUGAAAGACUGGGUCGCGUCUCUGGGAACCGAACCGAUAGAACUAACGACCAGCAGCUUGUAUCUUGUGGAAGGAUGAAAUGGUAUGAAUAAAUUCAUCAAAUAACUUUUAAUGAAAAUAUGGCAAUCAUUAUUUGAAUAUGUUGGUAAUCCGUUGUAUAAAAGUGAUAAUGCCCUCGAAGCCGAUGUUUGGAGGAUGUAUUAAAAUAUUAUUUAUUUUUUACAACUGAGCGACAGGUGAUUUUUGAGACUGGUCUCUAACGUUUUACUGAUGCUUGAUGUCCAAAUGAUUCUGUAAUGCGGGUUUAAAAACUAUUUGGGCAUGUGCAUAUGACGGUGUUUGGAGGAUGUAUUUGGACCUGUGCCAAACACUGACUUCUCUGGAAUUAUCACUUAAUAAUGCCAUCCCCUUCCCAAAAUAAGGGCAAAGACAGUACAGUAUGAACAUAAGCUAAAACUGCGACGUUGGUUAGCUAAACUCAGGCGCAGAAACAAGUAAUCGGGUCUAACGGUCGUCUCGCGCCGAACUGCGGCUGUGCAGGCCAUCAAAUCAAAGGUACUCCAAAGUUGUUAUUGACGAAAAAUGAAAACGUGUAAGUUUGUCACUUUCACGAGGUUGGAGUAAUAAUAUGUUCAACUACUUAAGUCAUUGGCUCGAAUGUAGGUUUUGAGAAAAUUAACAACUAAGGAAGAUUCUUUAAAUUGUGACUUCCCAAACCCCAGCCUGGUCUGUUUGGUCUCUUUCACAAGCGUUCCUGGAAGUCUCGCGAUGUUGCGCCUCUAAAUUUAGAAACUCUGUGGUCAUGGUAUGAGACGAGAAACCUGCCUAUGUCCGUCGAAAGUACGUAAUGUCACGAAGCAAUAUGAUAUUACAGAGAACAAGUAAUUAACCCGAAAAAAUGUUUUGUUAUACUUCUUGUUCACGAAAUGCAUGCUAAUGUUGGGUUUUGAGUUAGCGCCCAAAUUGACUCCUUGGAGGAGAACUCUCUUGUCCUUAAAUCGCCUCGAAUACACCGCGCAGCCCAUUGACGACGCAUGGACAACGUACAAAAUAUGAGUUAAUACGAUUUAUCCUACCCUACCAUUUAAAAUGUCAACUUCAAUGUGGGUAUGGACGUCCCAAUAAUACCAGAUAGCAAAGACCAACGGAAAACGUUUUACAACGAAAACGACUUUCUAUUGGACCAAUUCAGGUAGGUCCGUUUCGUUCUGUUUUCUUCCGUUUAGUAGGUAAACGGUUUCCGUUGCAAGAAGUAAUGAAUACAUACGGGAAGGGAUACUGAAUACACCCCUGGUAUAACAACAGCAUUCCCUCCCGCAUGUAUAAUCUACUCUACAUUAGUUCCAUGUUACAAAACAGAGACCAUCGGUCGCAAUAAACUUUGAUUCUACGUGUUAAUGCAUUUUUUAAAAUACAUUGACAAUGUCCCUUUAUGACCUCUUCUCUAUUUGGAAUAACGAUGCAAGACGAGACUGAACCAAAGUCAGUAUCUGGGUGCAGGUGGUGGUCCUCAUGGCACCCACCUCUAUGCCCGCUGAAUAGCACAGAAAUACUUACUAUUCCAGUAAGAUGAUUGAAGGAGCAGCUCACGAUGUCUAUGCUGAUCAGCCUGAGGAGUUCCACGGAGUUGUGCAGAGCAUCUGCGACAUUGUAGACUAAGAAAGUCUGUGUUUCAGUAAUUUAAUGAUGCUGCUUCAUUUUAUUUAUAUUAUACAGCCUACUGUGUGAGUUAUGUGGCUUUUUAAGUUGAUCUUUUCAAGAGGUUGUCUUGACAUGUCAUGACUGACAGUAAGAUCACCAUUAUAGUAUCUUGACUUUAUCUCUAGCCACUCCAAUUUGCUUACCGCCCCAAUAGGUCCACAGAUGACGCAAUCACACUGCACACUGCCCUAACCCAUCUGGACAAGAGGAAUACCUAUGUAAGAAUGCUGUUCAUCGAUUACAGCUCAGCAUUUAACACCAUAGUACCCUCAA